GAUGAAGAACGUAGGGAAAUGCGAUACGUAAUGUGAAUUGCAGAAUUCAGUGAAUCAUCGAAUCUUUGAACGCACAUUGCGCCCCCUGGUAUUCCGGGGGGCAUGCCUGUUCGAGCGUCAUUACAACCCUCAAGCUCUGCUUGGUAUUGGGCCCCGCCAGUUCUGGCGGGCCCUAAAGUCAGUGGCGGUGCCUUCCGGCUCCGAGCGUAGUAAUUCUUCUCGCUCUGGAGACCCGGUUGUGUGCUUGCCAACAACCCCCAAUUUUUUAAGGUUGACCUCGGAUCAGGUAGGGAUACCCGCUGAACUUAAGCAUAUCAAUAAGCGGAGGA
rnacentral:misc_RNA from 1 species